rnacentral:rRNA from 1 species
AUUGAACGCUGGCGGCAGGCCUAACACAUGCAAGUCGAGCGGAUGAAGGGAGCUUGCUCCUGGAUUCAGCGGCGGACGGGUGAGUAAUGCCUAGGAAUCUGCCUGGUAGUGGGGGAUAACGUCCGGAAACGGGCGCUAAUACCGCAUACGUCCUGAGGGAGAAAGGGGGGGAUCUUCGGACCUCACGACAUCAGAUGAGCCUAGGUCGGAUUAGCUAGUUGGUGGGGUAAAGGCCUACCAAGGCGACGAUCCGUAACUGGUCUGAGAGGAUGAUCAGUCACACUGGAACUGAGACACGGUCCAGACUCCUACGGGAGGCAGCAGUGGGGAAUAUUGGACAAUGGGCGAAAGCCUAAUCCAGCCAUGCCGCGUGUGUGAAGAAGGUCUUCGGAUUGUAAAGCACUUUAAGUUGGGAGGAAAGGCAGUAAGUUAAUACCUUGCUGUUUUGACGUUACCAACAGAAUAAGCACCGGCUAACUUCGUG